UCUCUGUUAGUAUAUCGGUUAGUACACGCGCCUGUCAUGUGUAAUGACCGCGCGAAAGCGGGGUUCGACUCCCCGACAGAGAG